rnacentral:pre_miRNA from 1 species
AGAAACUCCUCAUAAAGAAGGUUGUUUGAUGUAAUAUUCAAUAAUUAAUAAUAAUUAUUAUUAUUAUUAUUAUCAUUUCGAUGAAAUAAUAAUAUAAAGAAGAUGAAUAUAAAAUAACUUACAUCACAACCUACUUGAUUGAGGGGCACUUCG